UACGUAGGGUGCAAGCGUUGUCCGGAAUUAUUGGGCGUAAAGAGCUCGUAGGCGGUUCGUCGCGUCGGCUGUGAAAACCCGGAGCUCAACUCCGGGCCUGCAGUCGAUACGGGCGGACUAGAGUUCGGCAGGGGAGACUGGAAUUCCUGGUGUAGCGGUGAAAUGCGCAGAUAUCAGGAGGAACACCGGUGGCGAAGGCGGGUCUCUGGGCCUGUUCUGACGCUGAGGAGCGAAAGCAUGGGGAGCGAACAGG
rnacentral:rRNA from 1 species